rnacentral:rRNA from 1 species
UGGGGAAUAUUGGACAAUGGGCGCAAGCCUGAUCCAGCCAUGCCGCGUGAGUGAUGAAGGCCCUAGGGUUGUAAAGCUCUUUCAACGGUGAAGAUAAUGACGGUAGCCGUAGAAGAAGCCCCGGCUAACUUCGUGCCAGCAGCCGCGGUAAUACGAAGGGGGCGAGCGUUGUUCGGAAUCACUGGGCGUAAAGCGUACGUAGGCGGAUUGAUUAGUUAGGGGUGAAAUCCCGAGGCUCAACCUCGGAACUGCCUCUAAUACUGUCAAUCUAGAGAUCGAGAGAGGUGAGUGGAAUUCCUAGUGUAGAGGUGAAAUUCGUAGAUAUUAGGAAGAACACCAGUGGCGAAGGCGGCUCACUGGCUCGAUACUGACGCUGAGGUACGAAAGCGUGGGGAGCAAACAGGAUUAGAUACCCCCGUAGUCC